rnacentral:rRNA from 1 species
AUGGGGUUUAUUGCGUACCAAAAGAUAUCGGCUGCAAUGCUGGUGCUCACCUAUGGCAUACCCGCGGACUAUAUGGGCGAGUAUCUUCACAUUGGACAAGAUAUAACCACGGCGUCCAUUCGUAGGUUUGCAAAAUUGGUAAUCCGGUUGUAUGGUGAUGAGUAUCUUCGGGCACCCAACGAGGAAGAUACAAAGAGAUUGAUGGAGAUGAAUGAAAAAAGGGGAUGGCCGGGGAUACUUGGUAGUCUUGAUUGCAUGCAUUGGAAAUGGAAAAAUUGUCCAAAGGCAUGGCAAGGAAUGUAUUGCAGUAAAAGCCGUGAUGCUACCAUUGUGCUUGAGGUUGUGGCAUCGGAGGACACAUGGAUUUGGCAUGCAUUUUUUGGUUUGCCGGGAACACUCAAUGAUAUCAAUGUGCUCAAUAGAUCUCCUUUGUUCAAAAGAUUAGUUUCUGGGGAUGCUCCAACUUGCAACUACAAAAUAAUGGACAAUGAGUACUCAAUGGGAUACUAUCUCACCGAUGGAAUUUACCACGAUUGGGCAACUCUUGUGAAGUCCAUCAAGGAGAAAAAUGGGGUGCCAUUAACCAGAAAAGAGGCUCAUUUCACCAAGGCACAAGAGGCAGCCCACAAGGAUAUUGAGAGAGCUUUCGGUGUUUUGCAAGCAAGAUUUUCCAUAAUUCGGGGUCCAGCUCGUUUUUGGGACAAAAAAAACCUUGGAGAACAU